rnacentral:rRNA from 1 species
GAUGAACGCUGGCGGCGUGCUUAACACAUGCAAGUCGAACGGAAAGGCCCAAACUUGCUUGUGUACUCGAGUGGCGAACGGGGGAGUAACACGGGGGUGAUCUGCCCUGCACUUCGGGAUAAGCCUGGGAAACUGGGUCUAAUACCGGAUAGGACGCUGGUUUGUAUGCCAUUGUGGAAAGUUUUGUCGGUGUGGGAUGAGGUCGCGGCCUAUCGGCUUGUUGGGGGGGUCAUGGCCUACCAAGGCGUCGACGGGUAGCCGGACUGAGAGAGUGUACGGCCGCACUGGGACUGAGAGGAGGCCGCGACUCGUACGCGUGGGAGAAGUGGGGAAGAUUGAACAAUGGGCGCAAGCCUGAUGAAGAGAGGCCGCGUGGGGGAUGACGGUGUUGGGGGUGUAGAAUAAUUUCGAGAGGGAAGAAGCGUUUUUGUGACGGUACCUAGAGAAGAAGCACCGGCUAACUACGUG